rnacentral:rRNA from 1 species
GACGAACGCUGGCGGCGUGCUUAACACAUGCAAGUCGAACGGUAAGGCCCUUCGGGGUACACGAGUGGCGAACGGGUGAGUAACACGUGGGUGAUCUGCCCUGCACUUCGGGAUAAGCCUGGGAAACUGGGUCUAAUACCGGAUAGGACCCUGGGAUGCAUGUCCUGGGGUGGAAAGCUUUUGCGGUGUGGGAUGGGCCCGCGGCCUAUCAGCUUGUUGGUGGGGUGAUGGCCUACCAAGGCGACGACGGGUAGCCGGCCUGAGAGGGUGACCGGCCACACUGGGACUGAGCUACGGCCCAGACUCCUACGGGAGGCAGCAGUGGGGAAUAUUGCACAAUGGGCGCAAGCCUGAUGCAGCGACGCCGCGUGAGGGAUGGCGGCCUUCGGGUUGUAAACCUCUUUCAGCACCGACGAAGCGCAAGUGACGGUAGGUGCAGAAGAAGGACCGGCCAACUACGUGCCAGCCGCCGCAGUAA